CGGGACUUGUAAAAACCCAAAAUGAAAGUUCGAUCGUUUCUUUUCGUUGCUACUUUGCUGCUUUUUACUGCCCUUCUUCAAGACUCGGUGGAUGCGUACGGUGGAGGUCUACCAUCUUCGAAAGCUACUACGAAACCUCCACGUUUGGAAGAAAGAAAGUUUAUGCCGAUAGUAAGAAGUGUCUGUGAGGCAGCCAGAAACUUGAACUGUGCGGAAGAGGACACGAAAUAACUGAUGUACAACUGAAGAAGACAUCCAUCAUCUGAAAGCUUGUGCUCUUGUGUUACGAUCGUCCAUGGAUAAGCACCAAGGACAUUGUUACUUUGUAAAAGAAGAAAAUUAAUGAAGGCCAAAGAUGGAUAAUUAAA